CAUAUCAAAUAGCCCACACACAUCGGUGUGUACCAGGACAAGUGACUCAGUGGCCCUAUCCCCAUGUCCUACAAAGGAUAACUUGAUCAUCUUUUCUCGAAGACAAGAUUCACAAGCUGGAUAUGACUCUGGGUUAAGAGAGCCAAGGAUCCCAUCCUUUUCUAGUUUGUUUAUUCUGUUCUCUCCAAUAUAUUCUAGUCUAUGAUACCACAAAUACUUCUAGUUAAUUUUAUCUCUGGAUCUCUUUUGACCUAUGGCACUCACUAUUUGCUCGUUCAAAUUCAUAUUCACAUCAACAUGCAAGUGAUAUAGACUGUCAAUUAAAAAAUCUCAUGCAACCAAUU
rnacentral:lncRNA from 1 species